rnacentral:rRNA from 1 species
UUACGCCUUCAUGAAGCCGGAAUUGCUAGUAAUGGCAGGUCAGCAUACUGCCGUGAAUACGUUCCCGGGCCUUGUACACACCGCCCGUCACACCAUGAGAGUUGGGAAUACCCGAAGCCUGUGAGCUAACUAAUAGAGGCAGCAGUCGAAGGUAGAAUCAAUGAUUGGGGUGAAGUCGUAACAAGGUACC